rnacentral:rRNA from 1 species
GACGAACGCUGGCGGCGUGCUUAACACAUGCAAGUCGAACGGAAAGGCCCUGCUUUUGUGGGGUGCUCGAGUGGCGAACGGGUGAGUAACACGUGAGUAACCUGCCCUUGACUUUGGGAUAACUUCAGGAAACUGGGGCUAAUACCGGAUAGGAGCUCCUGCUGCAUGGGGGGGGUUGGAAAGUUUCGGCGGUUGGGGAUGGACUCGCGGCUUAUCAGCUUGUUGGGGGGGUAGUGGCUUACCAAGGCUUUGACGGGUAGCCGGCCUGGGAGGUUGACCGGCCCCCAUGGGACUGCGGUAGGGCCCAGACGCCAACGGGAGGCAGCGGUGGAGAAUAUUGCGCAAUGGGCGGACGCCUGAUGCAGCGACGCCGCGUGCGGGAUGACGGCUUUCGGGUUGUAAACCGCUUUCGACUGUAACGAGGCGUGAGUGACGGUAAUGGGUAAAAAAGCACCGGCUAACUACGUG